rnacentral:rRNA from 1 species
GAUGAACGCUGGCGGCGUGCCUAAUACAUGCAAGUCGAACGCAGAGGGGACGGGUGAGUAACACGUGGGUAACCUCCCAUCAGAGGGGAUAACACUUGGAAAAAGGUGCUAAACCGCUACUGAUGGAUGGACCCGGGGUGCAUUCGCUGGUUGGGGAGGUAACGGCUUACCAGGGCCACGAUGCAUAGCCGCCCUGAGAGGGUGAUCGGCCACACUGGGACGGAGACACGGCCCAGACUCCUACGGGAGGCAGCAGUAGGGAAUCUUCGGCAAUGGACGAAAGUCUGACCGAGCAACGCCGCGUGAAUGAAGAAGGUUUUCGGAUCGUAAAACUCUGUUGUUCGAGAAGCGGUAUCUAACCAGGAAGCCACGGCUAACUACGUGCCAGCAGCCGCGGUAAUAC